GUUCUCAUAGCUCAGCUGGAUAGAGCGCAGGUUUCCGGAACCUGAGGUCAGAGGUUCAAAUCCUCUUGAGAACA
rnacentral:tRNA from 1 species